rnacentral:tRNA from 2 species
CUCACCAUAGCUCAGUUGGUAGAGCGUCGGACUGUAAUUGGUAACUCCAAAGCCGCCUGAACAGGCGAGUUCAUCCGCAGGUCCUGUGUUCGACUCACAGUGGUGAGA